rnacentral:rRNA from 1 species
CCUACGGGAGGCAGCAGUAGGGAAUUUUCCACAAUGGGGGCAACCCUGAUGGAGCAACGCCGCGUGCAGGAUGAAGGCCUUCGGGUUGUAAACUGCUUUUAUAUGUGACGAAUAUGACGGUAGCAUAUGAAUAAGGAUCGGCUAACUCCGUGCCAGCAGCCGCGGUAAU